rnacentral:rRNA from 1 species
UAGGGAAUAUUGCGCAAUGGGGGCAACCCUGACGCAGCAACUCCACGUGUGGGAUGACGCAUUUCGGUGUGUAAACCACUGUCGAGAGGGAAUAAGGCGCAGUUUCGACUGCGUUGAAUGUACCUUUAAAGGAAGCACCGGCAAACUUCGUGCCAGCAGCCGCGGUAAUACGAGGGGUGCAAGCGUUGUUCGGAAUCACUGGGCGUAAAGGGAGCGUAGGCGGAUAGUCAAGCGUUCUGUGCAAUCUCGGGGCCCAACCCGAACACGCAGAGCGAACUGAUUAUCUUGAGUAGUUCAGAGGUUGGCGGAAUUCCUGGUGUAGCGGUGGAAUGCGUAGAUAUCACGAAGAACUCCGAUUGCGAAGGCAGCUCACUGGAGCGCAACUGACGCUGAAGCUCGAAAGUGCGGGUAUCGAACAGGAUUAGAUACCCUGGUAGU